UACAGAGAGUGCAAGCGUUAAUCGGAAUUACUGGGCGUAAAGCGCGCGUAGGUGGAUAUUUAAGUUGGAUGUGAAAGCCCUGGGCUUAACCUGGGAAUUGCAUUCAAUACUGGAUGUCUCGAGUAUGGUAGAGGGAAGUGGAAUUUCCGGUGUAGCGGUGAAAUGCGUAGAUAUCGGAAGGAACACCAGUGGCGAAGGCGGCUUCCUGGACCAAUACUGACACUGAGGCGCGAAAGCGUGGGGAG
rnacentral:rRNA from 1 species